rnacentral:rRNA from 1 species
CAGCCGCCGCGGUAAUACGUAGGUGGCAAGCGUUGCCCGGAAUUAUUGGGCGUAAAGGGCUCGCAGGCGGUUUCUUAAGUCUGGUGUGAAAGCCCCCGGCUCAACCGGGGAGGGUCAUUGGAAGCUGGGAAACUUGAGUGCAGAAGAGGAGAGUGGAAUUCCACGUGUAGCGGUGAAAUGCGUAGAGAUGUGGAGGAACACCAGUGGCGAAGGCGACUCUCUGGUCUGUAACUGACGCUGAGGAGCGAAAGCGUGGGGAGCGAACAGGAUUAGAUACCCGGGUAGUCCCUGUCUCUUAUAC